rnacentral:rRNA from 1 species
UUUAACUGAGCGUUCAGUUACUUGACGUAGACCCGAAACCGGGCGACCUACCCAUGAGCAGGAUGAAGCGAAAGUAAAAUUUCGUGGAGGUCCGAACCCACGAGCGUUGAAAAGCUCGGGGAUGACUUGUGGGUAGCGGUGAAAUUCCAAUCGAGCCCGGAGAUAGCUGGUUCUCCCCGAAAUAGCUUUAGGGCUAGCCUCAAGGUGAGAGAUACGGAGGUAGAGCACUGAAUGUCCUAGGGGGUAUUGCACCUACCGAAGACUAUCAAACUCCGAAUGCCGUCAUCUUAUACUUGGGAGUCAGACUGUGGGUGAUAAGAUUCAUAGUCGAAAGGGCAACAGCCCAGAUCGUCAGCUAAGGUCCCUAAAUGUAAGUUAAGUGGUAAAGGAUGUGGGAUUGCACAGACAACCAGGAUGUUGGCUUAGAAGCAGCCACUCAUUCAAAGAGUGCGUAAUAGCUCACUGGUCGAGUGAUCCUGCGCCGAAGAUUUCCGGGGCUAAAACUUACUACCGAAGCUACGGCAUCAGUAAUGAUGGGUAGGGGAGCUUCCCAUACGGGUUGAAGCAUGACCGUAAGGACAUGUGGACAGUAUGGGAGUGAGAAUGUUGGCAUGAGUAGCGAGAUGUGGGUGAGAAUCCCACAGGCCGUAAACCCAAGGUUUCCAGGGGAAGGUUCGUCCGCCCUGGGUUAGUCGGGACCUAAGCUGAGGCCGAAAGGCGUAGGUGAUGGACAACAGGUUGAUAUUCCUGUACUACCGAUAACCGUUUGAGAGAAGGGAUGACACAGUAGGAUAAGCUAAGCACACUGUUGGUUAUGUGUGCCCAAGCAUUGAGGCAGUCAAAGUAGG